rnacentral:rRNA from 1 species
GAUGAACGCUGGCGGCGUGCCUAAUACAUGCAAGUCGAGCGAACAGACGAGGAGCUUGCUCCUCUGACGUUAGCGGCGGACGGGUGAGUAACACGUGGAUAACCUACCUAUAAGACUGGGAUAACUUCGGGAAACCGGAGCUAAUACCGGAUAAUAUAUUGAACCGCAUGGUUCAAUAGUGAAAGACGGUUUUGCUGUCACUUAUAGAUGGAUCCGCGCCGCAUUAGCUAGUUGGUAAGGUAACGGCUUACCAAGGCGACGAUGCGUAGCCGACCUGAGAUGGUGAUCGGCCACACUGGAACUGAGACACGGUCCAGACUCCUACGGGAGGCAGCAGUAGGGAAUCUUCCGCAAUGGGCGAAAGCCUGACGGAGCAACGCCGCGUGAGUGAUGAAGGUCUUCGGAUCGUAAAACUCUGUUAUUAGGGAAGAACAAAUGUGUAAGUAACUAUGCACGUCUUGACGGUACCUAAUCAGAAAGCCACGGCUAACUACGUG